rnacentral:rRNA from 1 species
CAGGUUAGUUUUACCCUACUGAUGGAGUGUUAUCGUAAUAGUAAUUGAGCGUAGUACGAGAGGAACUGCUCAUUCAGAUAAUUGGUAUUUGCGCCUGUCCGAUCGGGCAAUGGCGCGAAGCUAUCAUCUGCUAGAUUAUGGCUGAACGCCUCUAAGUCAGAAUCUGUGCUAGAAACGAUGAUUUAUGUCCCGCACAUAAUAGAUGUGUUACAAUAGAGCUUGCUCGUGAACCAUACCAGACGGUCUUCUUACUGCGGCGGAAAUGCCUGCUUUAAGUUCCGUGAAUCAAAAUUAUAAUAUGCGCGGGGGUGAAUCCUUUGCAGACGACUUAAAUACGCGAC